rnacentral:rRNA from 1 species
CUUGUCUCAAAGAUUAAGCCAUGCAUGUAUAAGUACAAGCCGCAAAUGGGAAACCGCGAAUAGCUCAUUACAACAGUCGUAGUUUCUUAGAGCUUAAUUCUAUGGAUAACUGUGGUAAUUCUAGAGCUAAUACAUGUCACAAAACCCUGACUUACGAAAGGGUGCAUUUAUUAGAACAAAGCCAAUCAGACUUCGGUCUGUCUCAGGUUGACUCUGAAUAACUUAGCUAAUCGCAUGGUCUUUGUACCGGCGAUGUAUCUUUCAAAUGUCUGCCUUAUCAACUG